rnacentral:rRNA from 1 species
GAAAUAGAUCCUGAAACCGCAUGCAUACAAGCAGUGGGAGCACCUUCGUGGUGUGACUGCGUACCUUUUGUAUAAUGGGUCAGCGACUUAUAUUCAGUAGCGAGGUUAACCGUAUAGGGGAGCCGUAGAGAAAUCGAGUCUUAAUAGGGCGUUUAGUUGCUGGGUAUAGACCCGAAACCAGGCGAUCUAUCCAUGAGCAGGUUGAAGGUUGGGUAACACUAACUGGAGGACCGAACCCACUGUCGUUGAAAAGCCAGGGGAUGACUUGUGGAUAGGGGUGAAAGGCUAAUCAAGCCUGGUGAUAGCUGGUUCUCCCCGAAAGCUAUUUAGGUAGCGCCUCGGACGAAUACCAUAGGGGGUAGAGCACUGUUUCGGCUAGGGGGUCAUCCCGACUUACCAAACCGAUGCAAACUCCGAAUACCUAUGAGUACUAUCCGGGAGACAGACUGCGGGUGCUAACGUCCGUAGUCAAGAGGAAAACAAUCCAGACCGCCAGCUAAGGCCCCAAAAUCAUAGUUAAGUGGGAAACGAUGUGGGAAGGCAUAGACAGCUAGGAGGUUGGCUUAGAAGCAGCCACCCUUUAAAGAAAGCGUAAUAGCUCACUAGUCGAGUCGGCCUGCGCGGAAGAUGUAACGGGGCUAAAACUAUGUGCCGAAGCUGCGGAUGUAUACUUUGUAUACGUGGUAGGGGAGCGUUCUGUAAGCCGAUGAAGGUGUGUUGAGAAGCAUGCUGGAGGUAUCAGAAGUGCGAAUGCUGACGUGAGUAACGACAAAACGGGUGAAAAACCCGUUCGCCGAAAGACCAAGGGUUCCAGUCCAACGUUAAUCGGGGCUGGGUGAGUCGACCCCUAAGGCGAGGCCGAAAGGCGUAGUCGAUGGGAAAAUGGUUAAUAUUCCAUUACUUCUGUGUAAUGCGAUGAGAGGACGGAGAAGGCUAAAUCAGCCUGGCGUUGGUUGUCCAGGUGAAAGGAUGUAGGCAUGUAUCUUAGGCAAAUCCGGGGUACUCUAUGCUGAGAUCUGAUAGCAAGCUGUACUUGUACAGCGAAGUGGUUGAUGCCAUGCUUCCAGGAAAAGUCUCUAAGCUUCAGUUACACAGGAAUCGUACCCGAAACCGACACAGGUGGUCAGGUCGAGUAGACCAAGGCGCUUGAGAGAACUCUGCUGAAGGAACUAGGCAAAAUGGUACCGUAACUUCGGGAGAAGGUACGCUGUUGUUGGUGAUGGAACUCGCUUCCUGAGCUGACGACAGCCGCAGAAACCAGGCCGCUGCAACUGUUUAUUAAAAACAUAGCACUCUGCAAACACGAAAGUGGACGUAUAGGGUGUGAUGCCUGCCCGGUGCUGGAAGGUUAAUUGAUGGGGUUAGCGUAAGCGAAGCUCUUGAUCGAAGCCC